AGUGAACGCUGGCGGUAGGCCUAACACAUGCAAGUCGAACGGCAGCACAGUAAGAGCUUGCUCUUACGGGUGGCGAGUGGCGGACGGGUGAGGAAUACAUCGGAUUCUUCUUUUUCGUGGUUGAUAACGUAGGGAAACUUACGCUAAUACCGCAUACGACCUUCGGUUGAAAGCAGGGGAUCUUCGGACCUUGCGCGAUUGAAUGAGCCGAUGUCGGAUUAGCUAGUUGGCGGGGUAACGGCCCACCAAGGCAACGAUCCGUAGCUGGUCUGAGAGGAUGAUCAGCCACACUGGAACUGAGACACGGUCCAGACUCCUACGGGAGGCAGCAGUGGGGAAUAUUGGACAAUGGGCGCAAGCCUGAUCCAGCCAUACCGCGUGGGUGAAGAAGGCCUUCGGGUUGUAAAGCCCUUUUGUUGGGAAAGAAAAGCAGCAGGUUAAUACCCCGCUGUUCUGACGGUACCAAAAGAAUAAGCACCGGCUAACUUCGUG
rnacentral:rRNA from 1 species